rnacentral:rRNA from 1 species
UACGGAGGGGACUAGCGUUGUUCGGAAUUACUGGGCGUAAAGCGCACGUAGGCGGCUUUCUAAGUCGGGGGUGAAAUCCUGGAGCUCAACUCCAGAACUGCCUUCGAUACUGGAGAGCUCGAGUCCGGGAGAGGUGAGUGGAACUGCGAGUGUAGAGGUGAAAUUCGUAGAUAUUCGCAAGAACACCAGUGGCGAAGGCGGCUCACUGGCCCGGUACUGACGCUGAGGUGCGAAAGCGUGGGGAGCAAACAGG